rnacentral:rRNA from 1 species
GAGUUCAGGUGCUUCGGCACCGGCGAACGGCUCAGUAACACGUGGACAACCUACCCUUAGGAGGGGGAUAAUCCUGGGAAACUGGGAAUAAACCCCCAUAGGCCAUGGAGGCUGGAAGGCACUGUGGCUGAAAUUCCGAAAGGAGCCUAAGGAUGGGUCUGCGGCCUACCAGGUUGUAGUGGAGGUAACGGCUCCACUAGCCUACGACGGGUACGGGCCCUGAGAGGGGGAGCCCGGAGAUGGACUCUGAGACACGAGUCCAGGCCCUACGGGGCGCAGCAGGCGCGAAAACUCCGCAAUGCUCGAAAGAGCGACGGGGGAACUCCGAGUGCCUACGCUUUGCGUAGGCUUUUCUCAAGCCUAAAAAGCUUGAGGAAUAAGGGCUGGGUAAGACGGGUGCCAUCUGUGACGGUAGUUAUAGAUUUGACUUGUCGUUGCAAGGCAUAAGCCGCCGCGGUAAUACCCGCAGCUCGAGUGGUGGCCGCUUUUAUUGGGCCUAAAGCGUCCGUAGCCUGUCUGGUAAAUGCCUGGAUAAAUCGUCUGGCUCAACCGGAUGGCUGCCAGGUAGACUGCUAGACUCGGGACCGGAGGAGGGAGAGGGUACUCCAGGGGUAGGGGUGAAAAUUCCCUUUCUAUUAGCUUUGUGUGAAGCAGAAAGGGUUAUCACAAUCCUGUAAUCCUUGGAGGACCACCGGUGGCGAAAGCGCUCUCCUAGGACGGGUCCGACGGUGAGGGACGAAAGCCAGGGGAGCAAACCGGAUUAGAUACCCGGGUAGUCCUGGCCGUAAACGAUGUGGACUUGGUAUUGGGGUGGCUACGGGCUGCUCCAGUGCCGUAGGGAAGCCGUUAAGUCCACCGCCUGGGGAGUAUGGUCGCAAGGCUGAAACUUAAAGGAAUUGGCGGGGGAGCACCGCAACGGGAGGAGCGUGCGGUUU